AUUUCAGCUCCAGCACACUGACUGUAUGCUGUUUGUACCAGUGAACCAUUUGAAAUCAUCUCCUGACCAGCAGACAGCGCACAGUGGGGGCCAUGCUCUCCUCUGUGGUGGAGUCACUACAAACCCUGGUGCGUCAGCAGCAUGAACCAAGAAGGUGGACACCAAGAUGGCUCAGCAGGAACAAAUGCAAUACGUAAGUUACUGGAAAAGCCUGUUUCCCCCAUCACCCAUCUCGAGAAGCCCCAACUCACCUGCACGUCAUAAUGGGGGAUCGCUGUUCCCAGGCAGCCGGGCUUGACUUUCAUUGUCUUGGAAACUCUGCAGAACUCGCGGAUGUCCAGUCCUGUCUGUGCCCGCCAGCUCGCCAGCGUGCCUGGGAGGAGGGCCUCGCCACCACUGAAGCAGCUCUGCAGGUGUGGGAACUUGUAACUGAGGAGAGAGGUGACCCCAAUUCUCAUGUCCCCUCAAGCCCAACAUAACAGAGAAAUGAGCACCUAUCAUGGGAGGGAAAGGCCCAGGGUUAUUUUGUGGCAUUUUUGUCAAAUCGAGCUGCCUACUCCUGCCGAUGUGAUGACUGUCCUCAUAUCCACACCUUCAGGUUAUGCAAACCCCAGCCUCCCAGGGAAGGAGGCGGCCACUGUGGCAAAGUGGCGGUGUGCUCUUGGUUCAGUGCCUAGCCUCUGGGCCAGCUUCACGACAGAUUAAUUCAGGUGGGAAAGUGCCUUAUUGGCACUUCAGAAGCGCUGCUAAAAUUUAGCUGGCACCGAACACUUGCUAGACCUUGCUUGUGCCAGCUCCUUCUCUUCUCACAAUAGCCUCACGGCGUCUGCAUGAUCACCCCCAGUCAGAAGGGAAAGCUGUGACUCAGAGGACGAAGUGACAUGCCCAAGGUCACACAAGCAGCCAGGAGUGGAACCAGCAUUUGCUGCCAGUAUGCCUAACUGCUAUGUAACACCACCUUUGUCUGCACAGAGCUUAUAAAAAACGACUUAGGCAAAAAUAUAUAGAAAAACGAUUAACAUCAGUGAAUCAUGCAAUUAUUUCCUCCAAG